rnacentral:rRNA from 1 species
GACGAACGCUGGCGGCGUGCUUAACACAUGCAAGUCGAACGGAAAGGCCCUGCCUUUGUGGCGUGCUCGAGUGGCGAACGGGUGAGUAACACGUGAGUAACCUGCCCUUGUCUUUGGGAUCACUUCAGGUAACUGGAGCUCAUAACGGAUAGGAGUUCCUGCUGCAUGGGGGUGGUUAGAAACUUCCGUGGGUUGGGGAUGGACUCGCGCCUUAUCAGCUUGUUGGGGGGGUAGUGGCUUACCAAGGCUUUGACGGGUAGCCGGCCGGGGGGGGGGACCGUCAACAUUGGGAUGGGGAUACGGCCCAGACUCCUCCGGGAGGCAGCAGUGGGGAAUAUUGAACAAGGGGCGGAAGCCUGAUGCAGCAACGCGGGGUGCGGGAGAACGGCCUUCGGUUGGUAAACGGCUUUCGCAUGUGACGAAGCGUGAGUGACGGUAAUGGGUAAAGAAGCACCGGCUAACUACGUG